rnacentral:rRNA from 1 species
GAGCUCGUAGGCGGUUUGUCGCGUCUGCUGUGAAAGACCGGGGCUCAACUCCGGUUCUGCAGUGGGUACGGGCAGACUAGAGUGAUGUAGGGGAGACUGGAAUUCCUGGUGUAGCGGUGAAAUGCGCAGAUAUCAGGAGGAACACCGAUGGCGAAGGCAGGUCUCUGGGCAUUAACUGACGCUGAGGAGCGAAAGCAUGGGGAGCGAACAGGAUUAGAUACCCUGGUAGUCCAUGCCGUAAACGUUGGGCACUAGGUGUGGGGGACAUUCCACGUUUUCCGCGCCGUAGCUAACGCAUUAAGUGCCCCGCCUGGGGAGUACGGCCGCAAGGCUAAAACUCAAAGAAAUUGACGGA